GGCUAACGCUGGCGGCGUGUCUUAGCCAUGCAAGUCGAGCGGACUUAUGGGGUAACUUAUAAGUCAGCGGCGGACGGCGGAGUAACACGUAGCUAACCUACCCUCUGGACGGGGAUAACCUACCGAAAGGUGGGCUAAUACCCGAUGUAGUCAUCCUGUAUAGGGGUGAUGAAAGGUGGGCUUCUGUUUACAAGCUCAUGCUGGAGGAGGGGGCUGCGGCCUAUCAGGUAGUUGGUAGGGUAAUAGCCUACCAAGCCGAUGACGGGUAGCCGGCCUGAGAGGGUGACCGGCCCGAGGGGCACUGAGAUACGGGUCCCACUCCUACGGGAGGCAGCAGGCUAGAAAUUUGGGCAAUGGGGGAAACCCUGACGCAGCGACGCCGCGUGCGGGAUGAAGGCCUUCGGGUCGUAAACCGCUGUUGUGGGAGACGAAUGACUGUCGAUGAGGCAGUGGAGACGGUAUCUCACGAGGAAGCCCCGGCUAACUACGUGCCAGCAGCCGCGGUAAUG
rnacentral:rRNA from 1 species